AUGGAGCCGACCUUGAAAUACCACCCUUUAAUGUUUGAUGUUCUAACGUUGACCCGUAAUCCGGGUUGCGGACAGUGUCUGGUGGGUAGUUUGACUGGGGCGGUCUCCUCCUAAAGAGUAACGGAGGAGCACGAAGGUUGGCUAAUCCUGGUCGGACAUCAGGAGGUUAGUGCAAUGGCAUAAGCCAGCUUGACUGCGAGCGUGACGGCGCGAGCAGGUGCGAAAGCAGGUCAUAGUGAUCCGGUGGUUCUGAAUGGAAGGGCCAUCGCUCAACGGAUAAAAGGUACUCCGGGGAUAACAGGCUGAUACCGCCCAAGAGUUCAUAUCGACGGCGGUGUUUGGCACCUCGAUGUCGGCUCAUCACAUCCUGGGGCUGAAGUAGGUCCCAAGGGUAUGGCUGUUCGCCAUUUAAAGUGGUACGCGAGCUGGGUUUAGAACGUCGUGAGACAGUUCGGUCCCUAUCUGCCGUGGGCGCUGGAGAACUGAGGGGGGCUGCUCCUAGUACGAGAGGACCGGAGUGGACGCAUCACUGGUGUUCGGGUUGUCAUGCCAAUGGCACUGCCCGGUAGCUAAAUGCGGAAGAGAUAAGUGCUGAAAGCAUCUAAGCACGAAACUUGCCCCGAGAUGAGUUCUCCCUGACUCCUUGAGAGUCCUGAAGGAACGUUGAAGACGACGACGUUGAUAGGCCGGGUGUGUAAGCGCAGCGAUGCGUUGAGCUA
rnacentral:rRNA from 1 species